rnacentral:lncRNA from 1 species
CUGACUGAGGCCAAACCAGUAUGGGAGCUCCUUUGAAAAACCCAGCUAGGGCCAGGAAGGCCAGACAAGUGGACUUUCAUUGCAGUCAGAAGCAGUCCAAGGAGAUGAAUGAUUUGGGGCAGGUGGGUGCCUUCAGUGCUGCUCUGUCAGAGGAGCAUCCUUCUGUGAGCCUUGCUUUUCCUUCUGCAAACUGGCUAAGAGUAGCAGAGCACUCAACACCCAAAACCGCAAUGUGUGCGUGGCCGAAGACCGAGGCAACUGUGUCACAUCCUGGGCAUCUUACAUCUAUGGGCCUUCACAAUGAACAGAAAGCUGCAGUUUCCUCCUCUGUAUUCUUUCUCCACUCCCACUCGCCUCAUGUACCCCACUGACCCAGGUAUGAGAAACCCAGCCUGCACCUUCUAUAGCACCACAUGCCUAGACUGAGGAAAGAUCCACAAAUGCCACUCUUCUUCGAAUAGCCUACCUUCAUGAAGUCUCACCAUAGAUCCUCCUGUAGCCCUUGGCCUCAGAGAGUUUACACUGUUGCCUCCACCAUGGAAAUAAUGCCUAUUGAGCAUCCACAAGGAGGUCUUUGUUCCUGCCUGUGCCAUCCAUAAAACUGAUGUGAGGGCUGAGCAAUCUUCCUCUCUAUUCUCCUUCUGUGGAUAGUGCAUGUACACACAAAAUCACAAGGAAAAUUCACUCAGUUCUCUACUGUAGGCUCACAGUGAUGUAUUAGAAAGUU